UGCAAGUCGAACGGUAAGGCCCUUCGGGGUACACGAGUGGCGAACGGGUGAGUAACACGUGGGUAAUCUGCCCUGCACAUCGGGAUAAGCCUGGGAAACUGGGUCUAAUACCGAAUAGGACCACAGGACACAUGUCCUGUGGUGGAAAGCUUUUGCGGUGUGGGAUGGGCCCGCGGCCUAUCAGCUUGUUGGUGGGGUGAUGGCCUACCAAGGCGACGACGGGUAGCCGGCCUGAGAGGGUGUCCGGCCACACUGGGACUGAGAUACGGCCCAGACUCCUACGGGAGGCAGCAGUGGGGAAUAUUGCACAAUGGGCGAAAGCCUGAUGCAGCGACGCCGCGUGGGGGAUGACGGCCUUCGGGUUGUAAACCUCUUUCACCAUCGACGAAGGUCCGGGUUUUCUCGGGCUGACGGUAGGUGGAGAAGAAGCACCGGCCAACUACGUGCCAGCAGCCGCGGUAAUACGUAGGGUGCGAGCGUUGUCCGGAAUUACUGGGCGUAAAGAGCUCGUAGGUGGUUUGUCGCGUUGUUCGUGAAAUCUCACGGCUUAACUGUGAGCGUGCGGGCGAUACGGGCAGACUUGAGUACUGCAGGGGAGACUGGAAUUCCUGGUGUAGCGGUGGAAUGCGCAGAUAUCAGGAGGAACACCGGUGGCGAAGGCGGGUCUCUGGGCAGUAACUGACGCUGAGGAGCGAAAGCGUGGGGAGCGAACAGGAUUAGAUACCCUGGUAGUCCACGCCGUAAACGGUGGGUACUAGGUGUGGGUUUCCUUCCUUGGGAUCCGUGCCGUAGCUAACGCAUUAAGUACCCCGCCUGGGGAGUACGGCCGCAAGGCUAAAACUCAAAGAAAUUGACGGGGGCCCGCACAAGCGGCGGAGCAUGUGGAUUAAUU
rnacentral:rRNA from 1 species